rnacentral:rRNA from 1 species
GGCUCAGAUGAAACGCUGGCGGCAUGCCUUACACAUGCAAGUCGAGCGGCAGCGCGGGGGCAACCCUGGCGGCGAGCGGCGGACGGGUGAGUAAUACAUCGGAACGUGUCCUAUCGUGGGGGAUAACCAGUCGAAAGACUGGCUAAUACCGCAUGAGAUCGAAAGAUGAAAGCGGGGGACCGCAAGGCCUCGCGCGAUUGGAGCGGCCGAUGUCGGAUUAGCUAGUUGGCGGGGUAAGAGCCCACCAAGGCGACGAUCCGUAGCUGGUUUGAGAGAACGACCAGCCACACUGGGACUGAGACACGGCCCAGACUCCUAUGGGAGGCAGCAGUGGGGAAUUUUGGACAAUGGGGGCAACCCUGAUCCAGCCAUGCCGCGUGUGUGAAGAAGGCCUUCGGGUUGUAAAGCACUUUCGGCCGGAACGAAAUCGCCCGCGUUAACAGCGAGGGUGGAUGACGGUACCGGAAGAAGAAGCACCGGCUAACUACGUGCCAGCAGCCGCGGUAAUACGUAGGGUGCGAGCGUUAAUCGGAAUUACUGGGCGUAAAGGGUGCGCAGGCGGCCCCGCAAGUCAGGCGUGAAAUCCCCGGGCUUAACCUGGGAAUGGCGCUUGAAACUACAGGGCUGGAGUGUGGCAGAGGGAGGUGGAAUUCCACGUGUAGCGGUGAAAUGCGUAGAGAUGUGGAGGAACACCGAUGGCGAAGGCAGCCUCCUGGGUCAACACUGACGCUCAUGCACGAAAGCGUGGGGAGCAAACAGGAUUAGAUACCCUGGUAGUCCACGCCCUAAACGAUGAUGACUAGUUGUUGGAGGAGUUAAAUCCUUUAGUAACGCAGCUAACGCGAGAAGUCAUCCGCCUGGGGAGUACGGUCGCAAG